UACGGGGGGGGCAAGCGUUGUUCGGAAUUACUGGGCGUAAAGGGCGCGUGGGCGGCCUUCUAAGUCGGACGUGAAAUCCCUCGGCUUAACCGAGGAACUGCGUCCGAUACUGAAAGGCUUGAAUCCGGGAGAGGGAUGUGGAAUUCCAGGUGUAGCGGUGAAAUGCGUAGAUAUCUGGAGGAACACCGGUGGCGAAGGCGGCAUCCUGGACCGGUAUUGACGCUGAGGCGCGAAAGCUAGGGGAGCAAACGGG
rnacentral:rRNA from 1 species